UCCCUCUCAUUACAGGGAUACAACAGAGCUGUUGACUGGUGGGCCAUGGGUGUCCUUAUUUAUGAAAUGGCUGCUGGUUAUCCACCAUUUUUUGCUGAUCAACCAAUUCAAAUUUAUGAGAAGAUUGUUUCUGGAAAAGUUCGUUUCCCGUCUCACUUUACUGCUGAUCUCAAGGAUCUCCUGCGCAACCU